GUAGCCAUGGUCUGAGGCUGGUGCCUCACCUGUCAGCCUGCCCGGCUGCUGCUGCUACGCUCUCCUCUGGCUGCCGCAUCCCUGGCGAUCGCCGCUGUCGCGACCCUGGGCGGCUGCGGCCACCAUGAUACAUUUCAUCUUGCUCUUUAGUCGACAAGGAAAAUUGCGGCUGCAGAAAUGGUACAACACACUCCCUGACAAGGAGCGGAAGAAGAUCACCCGGGAGAUCAUCCAGACAGUUCUCUCUCGUGGGCACAGGACAAGCAGCUUCAUUGACUGGAAGGAGCUGAAACUCGUUUAUAAAAGGUAUGCUAGUUUAUAUUUUUGCUGUGCAAUAGAAAAUCAAGACAAUGAGCUCUUGACACUAGAGAUCGUACAUCGGUAUGUGGAGUUGCUGGACAAAUACUUUGGAAAUGUCUGUGAGCUGGAUAUUAUCUUUAAUUUUGAAAAGGCGUAUUUUAUCCUUGAUGAAUUUAUAAUAGGUGGAGAAAUUCAGGAAACAUCCAAGAAAACAGCAGUCAAGGCCAUUGAAGACUCUGAUAUGUUGCAGGAGCAGGUCAAGAGUCAAGAGGAUUUCAAGAAUUAUAAAGUACCUUUUUAAAAUUGGUACUAAAGCCAUUCUUCCCGCUAUUUGGAAAUAAGAGACUGAUUAAGUUAAUAAGACAUUAGGCAUGAUUUCCCAGCAACUAUCUUGGCAGUACUUUGAGCUGAUUACUUACUCCUGCCCAUGGAGGGACUCCAUCCUCAGACAAUGGAAGAAUACAUGAACAAGCCCACAUUUUAAGUGGACAGUCUACUUGAAGAUUCUGAGUGCUUCGUGUUGCGAAUCUACAAAUAAGCAACUCUUUGCAUCCAGUCUCCACACAGCUCUGGCACCAUGCCAAAAAUAACUUAAAGGGAUUCUGUGUUAGCUAGCCAAACUUAAAAGUUGUUAGCAUAAUGUAUUUAUGGUUGCUGCAUGUCUGUAUUAUACUGUCUGUGGGUACUCAGACAGUGGCUGUCGUUGCUUCAAAUAAUUGCUGCAGAUUGAAUAGUUGGCUUUCAGUGUUGAAAGUCCUCAUGGUAUUUUUAAGGCAAUUUCAAAUAUUAGUUGCAAUAUAAUAAUUUUUGUUGCCAUUUGAUCUACCUGUAGACUGAAAACUGUUUUGUGAUAACAUACAAUUUUGAAUGUAAAGUAUAUUUUAUAUAACAAAUGUCUUUCCUAAAUGUUUUUAAAAGGUACAUGAAUUCAAAUUUAUGUUAAUAGUUCAUAUUUCAUACAUGAUGCAGACAUUUUUUAAAACAUGUUCAGUACUACCGUAGUUUCAGGUCAGGUACAAUGUAUCUGAUUUUAAUGUCUUGAAUUCAACUUAUUUUCUUCAGAAUCGGGAUAGAACUUCAUAAGUGAUUUUGAUGUCUUAGAAGGUGCUAGAUGGAGGUUUUUAACUUUACUUUCAAUUGAAUAUAAGGGACAUUUCAA